rnacentral:tRNA from 1 species
GUGUCGGUAGUGUAAGGGAUAGAGCACGGUGCCCGGGAAGCACAGGCGCGGGUUCGAGUCCUGUCCGAGACG